CCUUUUUGAUUAUGGCAACUCAAAUUCAAAGUUAAGUAAACAAACGAAUAGAUAACCAUUUAACACUGGAAAAUUUGCUAAUUAUAGGUGAACACAUUAACCCAAGCAAAUUUGCUAAACUAUAUGCUCCCCCUUAGCUAUUGCUCCCCCUUAACUGAUGUUCCCCUUUUAUUAUUGAAUUUUGCUACUCUCCUCCUUUGCCAUAUAUCAAAAAUAAUAGACUUUUGAAUAACUUAGAUACUUAACAUUCAGUUCUUAUUUAUAGUUAAGUGAAAAGAUGUAUCUUUUUGAUAGAUUUUAAAGGCUAGGAGAAAAGUAAUCUUUGAGGGUAAAUAAAAAGAACUCUGCAGAUAUUUACAAUGUUAGAUUUCAAAUUUAGCUAGGUUCAGCAAAGAUUUGAUCAUUAAGUUUUUAGCUUAGAUCUUUAGAAGUAGUAAAGUUUGAACAAUAUUUAAAGUUGGUUUAGGUUAUUCAUUAAAAUUCAGUUGGUCCUUAAGUCCAAGCAUGAGUUAUAAUCAGUAGAUUAAUUCACUAUGUGAAAAUCUGUAUUAGACUUCGCCACUGUUUACUUUGGCAAUUAAUAAUUAUGAAGUAAUAUAUUACAAUUAACUUCGGUACAAAAUUUAAUAUAGUAAAUACUAUGUUAGACUUCAUAGAUUAAAAAAUACAGGCUUUACUUCUAAUUUUAUCUAAUAUUUUACUUCGUGAUAUAUAUUUGAUGAAGUAAUAAGUCACAAAAUUAAACUAUAUGUCUAAAUGUUGAAGUAAUAAGUUAUAACUGGUUAAAAAUAUUUUCCUAGCUGAACCGACACUACUAGAAAUAAGGUCUAUUAUAACAUUUUCUUAAUGACACUUAAUUAAUAAUGCCAUUAUAAAUAUUUUUUAAUGACACCUACUAAAAAUAGAUUAUUAUAAAAAUAAAAUAUCUUAUUAGAUCAUCUAUUGUGACAAUAUUUAUAAAUGUCAUUACAAUUUAAUCCAACCUAUUUAUUUUCACUGACCUAGACUUCUCUUUUCACUAUCGUUCCUUUCCUCUUCUCAUCACCGCAAGAAGCGACUGUGGAGAGCUCAAAUCGCCUGCUAAUUACUUCUCCUACCAGUUCAAGUGGAAAAUGGAGCAGGAUCUCCUGAAAUCAUCGCUCUUCUUCAUCGAUCAGCGCAUUUGGUCUGCAAAAAUCCUCACUCUGUGCAUGGUCUUUAGAUUGAAUACCUCACUCGUCUUCUUCUUCUUCUUAUUCUUCUUCUUCUUCUUCUUCUUCUUCGGCAUUUUGAUGCUUUUUCUUCGAUCCUUGUCCUUCUAGAUGUGUUUCUCGAAUGGUGAAUCUAGGUUUUCCUUGCAAUCAUCUGCAGGUGAGAGCACUAAUCGAAGUCGUUGUCCUCAAUUUCCUGAAAACCCUCACCGCUCCCAACCCAGCCGUAUCAAAUCUGGCAUCGGUGUGUCUCUUUCUCGAUUUGCAAGCUUGUGAAGGGUUUAGGGCUUUCCAUUUGAUUUUGGAUCCAUUCCUUGGUAUUAUAAUUAAACCCCAUUUUCAUUAUUAGGGUUUCAUCAUGUUUGUUGUAGCUAUACGUCAUUUAUUUUGAGUGAUUUGGGAUCACAGUUUGCUCACUAAUAAUCCCAUCUGACGUGAUAGAUUAACAACAAAUCUAAUGACAAUGGGUUCCAUCAAGGGGUUCUUGAGUGAGGUCUCAUCAAUCUAUUCUAUCGCACUCUGUUUGCACAAGAUCUUUCAUGAGAGCACAGGAUGCAAAACCUUUCACAAGAGAUAUAGUUUCUGUAAUUAACUCCCAAUAUCUCGCACUCUACACAUAGCAUGAAUUUCUUGUUCUUGUUGAGUUUCUCUGCAGUAUAGAUGGUCAUGGCGAUGUGCUUCCGCAUUGUCGGGGAGGGGAAGCUUGUCACGCAACGAAAACUUUUCUAUAAGCUUCUUUGUGACUCACCUGACUAUUUCACAUCUUAGGAUCAAGUCAACAGAGUAGUACAAGGUCACCAUGUUCUAUCAUCCAUAUUGAUGUUGUUGCAUUGCUCCAGUGCACUCGACAUAGUCUAAGUAUCAUGGCUUCUAGCAAAGUUACAAUUGUUGGGAGAUUCCUAUUAGAGGAGCUUGGUGAAUAGAAUGUUGAUUGUUCUAUGCUUGGACAAGUUGGCUAUGCUAUAACCGGAGACCUUUAUGCAUUGAACAUAUUUGUCCUUAAUUAUGAUGUGAGAUAUAUCAUCAUAGUAGAGAAGUUACCUUUACAAAUACUUGAAGAAAGAAAAUAGAGCUGAGUAUGUCUCAUUUGUGGAUCCUGGUCACAUACCAAUAUGUGGUGUGGGCGAAGAAGGCAGUAAAUUGUCACAACAUAUUGCUGAGCAGUUGAGAGCAUCAAACAGAGAUAGUAUCUGCUUCAUUCUAUACAACACUAGUGGGGUCAAGUUAUACAAUGCAUCAAGGGGAAUUUCAAAAGGACCUGGUUUUAAAAAAUUGACGGGUAAUCUAAAAUAAAAAGGUGGUGUUGAAUGUGGAUAUUGUGUAAUGCGGUACAUGAAAGAGAUAGUCUUGGAUGAAUAUCCCCAACUGGAGAUGAAGUUUGCAACAUUAAAAAAUAAACAGUAUUACAAUCAAUCUCAGUAUGAUGAAAUCAGAAGUGAAUGGAGCAAAUUCGUCUACUUCUAUAUAGGUGCUUAAGUGUAGGAUGUGAUAUAAAUUUUGGAUUGUAUUUAGAGAUUUAUGGAUACAAAAUUUUUUUGGUUAUGGUUAAAUAUGUCUUUUAUGAAUACACUUUUGGAU